GGGCACAACCGCUGAGCAACAGGUUUAAUGCGCUCGCAAUCGAAUCAAAGCCACUGAGUGUGUUUCUAAUGGGCUGAUAAUUGAAUUCAUAGCAAGCGCGUUCUCCAAGUGCCGCUCACCUGCGUCAUGAGUCGAUCCGCACCUGUGUUCUCCUCAUCUUUGAAGAUGAUGUCCGGGUUGUAGUUCGGCGUGAGCUCUUUAAAGCGCUCUGAGUUCCUGGUGAUCUUGCCCUCGAUUCUCCCGCUGGCUCCCAGUGUCUUCUCGGCUACAUUUGGACUAAACUGCUUGUAAUUAAGGGGUGUCAGUUUCUUCGGAGGCCGCCUUUUCCCAUGUCCCCUCCCCGGCCCACAGCCCUCGUUAACAGGUGCGAAAAUCAGGGCGCAGCCGACGAGGAGCCCAAACACCACGGGGAGACGCAUUCCACCGCAAGCGGCCGGGCACUCCGAUGCGGAGUGGUACGGUGGCACAGCUCGCCGUUCACUGAGAAACUACCCCCCGCGAGAUCCUUCUUCCCCCCCACGGGGUAAAUGAUGGGGAGGACAAAACCUCUACUUCUUUAUUAGCCUUAUCCGUGCCAUCGUCCGUGCGUAAAAUUCGCUUUACGCAAAGCCAGUCAUGGAGAGCCGCCGGAGAAAAGAUCCAGUGAUACCAAAUGUUCAGUGCCCAUAAAACGCGAAACGCUGGUCUCUCGAGAAAAUCACCCAAAUGAGAGCGAGCGGGCAAGUCCAUUUAUUUAUCUAACAGAUUCCAGGAGAGAAAGAGAGAGAGAGAUAGACUCCGGGAGAGCUUUCAGAGAGACUCCUGCUGUCUUUGAAUGCGUGCGUCCGUCAAGUGAUCUGAGCUGCCGGCGCACUGAAGACAGACCGCACCCUGCCAGCUUCUUGCCCCUCUCUAUCCCUGCCUGCCACUCCUCCCCAUGGGUCACAUUGGGUGCGUCGUGCUGUAUGCCCACCGGCUCCCUUUAACGCUUCACAGCGCCUGGCUGGGCAAACACACGUCUCGAGGAAGAACUGGACUCAGACUCUCCCAUUCAUAGAUCCACAAAUAGAUAAGGGGCCUGGCUGCUCCUCAAACAAACGUGAGCGACUGCUGCCCUCCCCUACCUGCCUAACACUGAUAUGAUGAAGGAAACACGGCAGACUACAACUUGCCGAAGGAUUGAUUGGUUAUUUAUUGAUCAGAAGACAUCCGUUUGGGUUCAGUUUAGGUGGCAGGUGUAAGAGUUGAGAGAUGAUUGAUUUAUUUAUUUUGUCCUGAACUCUAUGCAAAGUUACAGAAGCUAAUUUGGAAAUGCUGUACUUAAAGUAAACACUGUAAAUGUAAACCCAUGAACAUCUUUGCAUAAACACUGCACUAAUGAGAUAUACUGUAAAGUAGUUUUAUAAAUGAUAAUUAACAUUUAAAAAAACUUUUUUGUGUAGCUUUUAAACCCAUAAAUGGAGACAUUUUUUUGACAUGUGUUUGGUUUAAUUGUUUUCAGAGCUGACUACAUUUUAACCAUGUUUUUCAGACACCCAUUUGAAAAAUACAGUACAAUUUUGUGACUUAUUUUUAUUUAAGAAUCAGUACAGACCCCAAAUACUAAUUGCCAUGUUUUAAAAUUUAUACCAUAUCCUUUGAACCCAUUUGUCAGCAAGAAGUUUUAAUAAAUUAAAAUGUAGAGCAA
rnacentral:lncRNA from 1 species